rnacentral:rRNA from 1 species
UCGGGAAUUUUGGGCAAUGGGCGAAAGCCUGACCCAGCAACGCCGCGUGAAGGAUGAAGUAUUUCGGUAUGUAAACUUCGAAAGAAUAGGAAGAAUAAAUGACGGUACUAUUUAUAAGGUCCGGCUAACUACGUGCCAGCAGCCGCGGUAAUACGUAGGGACCAAGCGUUGUUCGGAUUUACUGGGCGUAAAGGGCGCGUAGGCGGCAAUUCAAGUCAUCUGUGAAAUCUCCGGGCUUAACUCGGAACGGUCAGAUGAUACUGCUUUGCUAGAGUGCAGAAGGGGCAAUCGGAAUUCUUGGUGUAGCAGUGAAAUGCGUAGAGAUGUGGAGGAACACCGAUGGCGAAGGCAGCCCCCUGGGUCAACACUGACGCUCAUGCACGAAAGCGUGGGGAGCAAACAGGAUUAGAUACCCCCGUAGUCCCUGAGCGGGCUGGCAAGGCGCAU